GUGACCACCUGUCUGUCUUCUUAUCAUCUCAACCACCCGAGUCUCUCUUUACACUCGCAGCAAGAUAAAGAUGUCUGUCGCCUUCCUUGGGGCCCUCCUCUUGGUCCUCGUGCUUUCAACACCAAUGGUCCAUGGGCAGACCACCACAAAUGGGCUCGGGAAUGCAACUUCUGUCGCAUCCACCGUGAGGCCAGCCAUCGCCAACACCACUGAUAAGAACGCAUGCUCCAGGGUGAACGGCCCCUCCUUGCUGUUGCUGGCUCUCACCUUGGCCCCUCUGCUCCACAGUUGGUGGUGCUGAUGUGUUCGUCCGUGGCUCCACUCACUGGACAUUAAGAGUUCAAUGGCCUAAUUGCCACGUAAUCACUGGGUUUCUCAAAAGAUGAGACACGGCAUGUCUUCGCAUCAAGUAGUGGGAGUCUUGCAUUGACUGGACUUUUACCAGGGAGUAAUGCAUUGUGUGCUGUUCAAUAUUGGCUAUGUUUUUGACUUUAUGUCCAGUGAGGUGUUUUUAAUAUGAAGGAUGCCAGUUUAAUGUUUUUUUUUUUUUUGCCUUUUUGAAAAAUUUGCUUUUUAGGUCUUUUUGUAAAUUCAAUAAAUGUUCAACUUAA